rnacentral:lncRNA from 1 species
AGAAUGGGAUACUGGAGGUAUUGAUAAUGAAAUUUAUUGGCAUUGAAAAGUCCAGGUAUGGGGACCAUGGGAUGUGAGUUGCUCCAGUAGAUGGAGGACAAGCUCGUUGGAAGACAGAAGGUCUUCCAGUUGGAAGAAUUCUCUACAUGGAUGCAAAACUCUUCAUGAGUUAUAAUAAGAGUGGUUCUGUAGACAGGAGCCAUGAGCUUACAUCUAUGAGAGGAGCUGCCCUGGGGAUUGGUAGAUAACUACAGUAAGAUGGCAUAGGCUAAAGGAAAAAUUCAAAGAUGUUUAUUUUUAACAAAAAAAAAAAAAAAAAAAAAAAAAAGGAAGUUCCCGUUGUGGCUCAGUGGUUAAGGUAUCCAACUAGGAACCAAGAGGUUAAGGGUUCCAUCCCUGGCCUCUCAGUGGGUUAAGGAUGCGGCGUUGCCGUGAGCUGUGGUGUAGGUCACAGGCUCGGCUUGGAUCUGGCAGCUGUAGCUGUUGGCCUACACCACAGCCACAGCAAUGCAGGAUCCAAGCCAUGUCUUUGACCUACACCAUAGCUCAUGGCAACGCUGGAUUCUUAACCCACUGAGAAAUGCCAGGGAUUGAACCUGCAUCCUCAUGGAUACCAGUCAGAUUCAUUUCCGCUAAGCCAUGACAGGAAUUCCAUGUAUUACUUUUUAAUACUUUUAAAUAUUAAAAUAUAAAAAUAUUUAAGUAUUCUUAACAAUUUAUAGUUGUUAUAGAGCAAUUAGCUAGGGAGCCAAUGAAAUAUCUGGGGACUUUUAGUUUGUAGUAUUAAAUUAUGAUAGAAAGCUUACAAAUUCUUCGUAGGCAUCAGAUUAUAGCUGUGCUAUAUGCCAUAAGCAAUCAGGACCCAGGGCCAUAGACUAAAGUUUAAUUGAGUGGCUUCAGCUUUAUGCUGACAUCAAAACGUCCGUAUUGCUAUUUCUCUUUCACUUGCUCUGCCAUUUAAGUGAUUGAACCCAGUUUACAGCGAGGGGACUCGUUCCUCUGAAUCCAAUUCGCAGGACUUGUACUGACCCUGUAUAUGACUUUGCCAUGUCUUUAUACUCUAUAAGGUAGAGGUAUUUUUUAAUCUGUUUCUAUUGAGAGGAGGUGGGAACCAGGGUUAACUCUGGUUAACCCUGGUACACCUUUGAUAUAUUACUAAUUAUAUUGUAAUAAUCUAUUGAAAGGAGAGAGAAUAAUUUGGGGAGCUUUAGCAACCUGUAUGAGUAGAAUUGAUGAUGGAGGACAAACCAUGUUAUGAAUAGCUUUGGAAGUGGAAUAUAUUUGAAUGGGAUUAAAGCUAUUUAUCAGCGGUAAAGGUGACAGUUCACAGUGUGAUUUGACUGGCUCUCCAGCUAUCUAAAUAUGAUGAGGUAUCUCCAACUCCAAUUCCACUGGUAAUCUCACAAUUCAUAGUUUAAAUGCCCACAAGCAGUAAGAGUCUCAUUUAAAACCAACUUCAGAAGGGAAAAAAAAAAACAAAAAA